rnacentral:rRNA from 1 species
UACGUAGGCAGCAAGCGUUGUUCGGAGUUACUGGGCGUAAAGGGUGUGUAGGCGGUUGUUUAAGGUUGGGGUGAAAGCCCCCGGCUCAACUGGGGAGGGUCAUUCGAUACUGAUCGACUCGAAGGCAGGAGAGGGAAGUGGAAUUCCCGGUGUAGUGGUGAAAUGCGUAGAUAUCGGGAGGAACACCAGUGGCGAAGGCGACUUCCUGGCCUGUUCUUGACGCUGAGGCGCGAAAGCUAGGGGAGCAAACGGG